rnacentral:lncRNA from 1 species
UAACAGGUGUGAGUGGAGAAAAGUGAAGAGUAGAACAAUAGGAGUAGAACUUCCUUUUCAAGUACACUUCUGUCUAAUAAAACGUUACCACCUUCUAGAACAGAACUUGGUCGUAUCCUUAAACCCAAACCACAAUAAAAACAAAAAGUGAACAAGAGGAGGAGGUACCCUGAAGCAAUCAAAACUUACAAACAGUGAAACAACACCAAGGACGGAACAACCUUCAGAACGUCUGACCGCUUUUACAGGGAUAAAGAUAAGUGGACUAGACAUCCAGAGAAACCCUCCUGAUGCAGAACAACUCAGUCACAAGCAAAAUAUUUUAAAACAUCUUUAUAAAUGCAUGACCAGAUUGGCAAAAUGGGUUUGCUGGCAGCCAUCAUGCAUGCUGCCGAGAAACCUCCAGAUGAAGCCAACGCAAAAGCAGACAAGCCCCAAGCCAGAGAAAGUCCUGAUCUGGUGACACCAUUUGAGCACCUGAGAAAAGCAGUGCGUGCGGCUACACACCCUUAGACUUUCCCAUUACUGAACCACUGAAUUCCUUUUUUUAAAAAGAUGAAUUUGAGUUGAAUUUUCUGUCACUAGCAAAUUAAAAUAUCUUAACUGAUAACAUGAGGAUAGAUACUCCAUAUUCAAUCUUUUAUUCUACUUUUUUCACUAAACACAAUGGAAG